UACGGAGGGGGCUAGCGUUGUUCGGAAUUACUGGGCGUAAAGCGCGCGUAGGCGGACCUGCAAGUCGGGGGGUGAAAGCCCGAGGCUCAACCCUCGGAACUGCCUUCGAUACUGCGGGUCUCGAGUCGGGAGAGGUGAGUGGGAAUUCCUAGUGUAGAGGUGAAAUUCGUAGAUAUUAGGAAGAACACCAGUGGCGAAGGCGGCUCACUGGCCCCGGUACUGACGCUGAGGCGCGGAAAGCGUG
rnacentral:rRNA from 1 species